GUAUAUAUAGCUCAGUGGUAGAGUGUGUGCUUAGCAUGCACAAGGUCCUAGGUUCAAUUCCCAGUACCUCCA
rnacentral:tRNA from 1 species